rnacentral:lncRNA from 1 species
AACUGAAAGCUCUUCCUAGUCAUCAUGUGUGGCGUUCCCUGCCCUUCUUUUUCUCCAGAGGCUCAUGCCCCCCACCCCCACCCGCCCCAGCCCUAUCGCUGACAUUUAUUUUCAUUGUUUAUAAUGCGGCCUUUUUAUGGCUUCACUUUUAUAGGUGUCAAAUCUCCCCCACGAUGUUUGGGGUGACGAGGGUGAAUCUUGGUGCUUCAUGUUCCCCAGGUUGCUUGACACACAGUCUGGAGACUGCCCUAUGCAGAUGGGACCAGGAGAGUGAAGGGGCUUGUGACACAAAGUCCAAAAGAUAACUGCUUAUAGAAGUCCCCAAAUCGAGAUAGAUAUAAUUUAGCUAUCCGAUCCACACAGAACUUACCCAGUAUUCCUAGUUUUGCAAACUGCUUAAGAUCCCCUUGAGCUGAUUUCAAUCAGUAAAUUGAUUGAUGAUGAUGGUACCAGACAGGGGAUGGCGUGGCCGGAAGAGAUGAACCUCAUCCCCUUUCCCUUCCUGGAAAACCCUACUCCGGAUGGCAGGGAGAGACAGCCUUUUGCCCCCUACCAUCCCUGAGCGUUCACGGAGGCAAUUCAACAGGGUCCAAUUCUCAAGCGACAUGGAGAAUUUCUCAAGAUCCGUUCAUGCUAACUAACCCAACCGACCAUUUUAUGAUGACUUGAGAACGGGUUUGAAAUGAAAUGAAAUAAACUCAAGCACUCAUUCAGGAAGGGACAAGAAUCCUUCCUAACCAUGGUGUAGGGACAUAUACAACCUACCUAGAAACAGGUUACCAGCACAGCCUGGUGUGCAAGCACAGUGCAAGGGAGUGUGGGAGAGAGGCACAAGGAGAAAAGGAGUC